GAUGAAGAACGUAGUGAAAUGCGAUACUUGGUGUGAAUUGCAGAAUCCCGUGAACCAUUGAGUCUUUGAACGCAAGUUGCGCCCGAAGCCGUUAGGCUGAGGGCACGCCUGCCUGGGUGUCACACAUCGUUGCCCCAAUGCCAAUCGCCUCACUUUGUAGGUAUUUGCUUGGGGUGAAUGUUGGCCUCCCGUGAGCUUUGUCUCACGGUUGGUUGAAAAUCGAGUGCAUGGUGUCGGGUGUACCAUGAUGGAUGGUGGUUGAGUGAUGAUGCUCGAGACCAAUCAUGGGUAACUCCACCAGAAUUGGGCUCGGUGACCCACAUGCGUCCCUUGGAUGCUCCCUAAGGAGACCUCAGGUCAGGCGGGGCUACCCGCUGAGUUUAAGCAUAUCAAUAAGCGGAGGA
rnacentral:misc_RNA from 1 species